rnacentral:rRNA from 1 species
AGAGUUUGAUCCUGGCUCAGGAUGAACGCUGGCGGCGUGCUUAACACAUGCAAGUCGAACGAACGACUAUUAACAGAACCUUUCGGGGCGAAGAAUAUAGAAGUUAGUGGCGGACGGGUGCGUAACGCGUGGGUAAUCUGCCUUUGUCAAAGGAAUAACUAUUCGAAAGAAUAGCUAAAACCGUAUAACAUAUUAAUAGGGCAUCCUAAUAAUAUCAAAACUGAGGUGGACAAAGAUGAGCCCGCGUCUGAUUAGCUAGUUGGUGAGAUAAAAGCCCACCAAGGCAACGAUCAGUAGCCGACCUGAGAGGGUGAACGGCCACAUUGGAACUGAGACACGGUCCAAACUCCUACGGGAGGCAGCAGUGGGGAAUAUUGCACAAUGGGGGGAACCCUGAUGCAGCAACGCCGCGUGAGUGAAGAAGGCAUUCGUGUCGUAAAACUCUGUAGUAGGGGAAGAAAGAAAUGACAGUACCCUAAAAGAAAGCCCCGGCUAACUACGUGCCAGCAGCCGCGGUAAUACGUAGGGGGCAAGCGUUAUCCGGAAUAACUGGGCGUAAAGGGUGCGCAGGUGGUUUAACAAGUUAGUGGUGAAAGGCAUAGGCUCAACCAAUGUAAGCCAUUAAAACUGUUUAACUUGAGUGCAGGAGAGGAAAGUGGAAUUCCUAGUGUAGCGGUGAAAUGCGUAGAUAUUAGGAGGAAUACCAGUGGCGAAGGCGACUUUCUGGACUGUAACUGACACUGAGGCACGAAAGCGUGGGGAGCAAACAGGAUUAGAUACCCUGGUAGUCCACGCCGUAAACG